GUGCCAGCAGCCGCGGUAAUUCCAGCUCCAAUAGCGUAUAUUAAAGUUGUUGUGGUUAAAAAGCUCGUAGUUGAACCUUGGGCCUGGCUGGCCGGUCCGCCUCACCGCGUGCACUGGUCCGGCCGGGCCUUUCCCUCUGUGGAACCCCAUACCCUUCACUGGGCGUGGCGGGGAAACAGGACAUUUACUUUGAAAAAAUUAGAGUGCUCCAGGCAGGCCUAUGCUCGAAUACAUUAGCAUGGAAUAAUAAAAUAGGACGCGCGGUUCUAUUUUGUUGGUUUAUAGGACCGCCGUAAUGAUUAAUAGGGACAGUCGGGGGCAUCAGUAUUCAACUGUCAGAGGUGAAAUUCUUGGAUCAGUUGAAGACUAACUACUGCGAAAGCAUUUGCCAAGGAUGUUUUCAUUAAUCAGGAACGAAAGUUAGGGGAUCGAAGACGAUCAGAUACCGUCGUAGUCUUAACCAUAAACUAUGCCGACUAGGGAUCGGACGGUGUUAUUCAUGACCCGUUCGGCAUCUUACGAGAAAUCAAAGUGCUUGGGCUCCAGGGGGAGUAUGGUCGCAAGGCUGAAACUUAAAGAAAUUGACGGAAGGGCACCACCAGGGGUGGAGCCUGCGGCUUAAUUUGACUCAACACGGGGAAACUCACCAGGUCCAGACACAAUAAGGAUUGACAGAUUGAGAGCUCUUUCUUGAUUUUGUGGGUGGUGGUGCAUGGCCGUUCUUAGUUGGUGGGGUGACUUGUCUGCUUAAUUGCGAUAACGAACGAGACCUUAACCUGCUAAAUAGCCCGCAUUGCUCCGGCAGUGCGCUGGCUUCUUAGAGGGACUUUCGGCUC
rnacentral:rRNA from 1 species